rnacentral:rRNA from 1 species
AGUCAACAUGCCCAAGAGACGUGGAUAACCUCGGGAAACUGAGGAUAAACCGCGAUAGGCCAAGAUUUCUGGAAUGGAUCAUGGCUCAAACCUAUAUGGCUCUUGGAUUGGACUGCGGCCGAUCAGGCUGUUGGUGAGGUAAUGGCCCACCAAACCUAUAACCGGUACGGGCUUUGAGAGAAGGAGCCCGGAGAUGGGCACUGAGACAAGGGCCCAGGCCCUAUGGGGCGCAGCAGGCGCGAAACCUCUGCAAUAGGCGAAAGCUUGACAGGGUUACUCUGAGUGAUGUCCGUUAAGGGCAUCUUUUGGCACCUCUAAAAAUGGUGCAGAAUAAGGGGUGGGCAAGUCUGGUGUCAGCCGCCGCGGUAAUACCAGCACCCCGAGUGGUCGGGACGAUUAUUGGGCCUAAAGCAUCCGUAGCUUGUUCUGCAAGUCCUCCGUUAAAUCCACCUGCUCAACAGAUGGGCUGCGGGGGAUACUACAGGGCUAGGAGGCGGGAGAGGCAAACGGUACUCAGUGGGUAGGGGUAAAAUCCUCUGAUCCACUGAAGACCACCAGUGGCGAAGGCGGUUUGCCAGAACGCGCUCGACGGUGAGGGAUGAAAGCUGGGGGAGCAAACCGGAUUAGAUACCCGGGUAGUCCCAGCUGUAAACGAUGCAGACUCGGUGAUGGGUUGGCUUCGAGCCAACCCAGUGCCGCAGGGAAGCCGUUAAGUCUGCCGCCUGGGGAGUACGGUCGCAAGACUGAAACUUAA